rnacentral:rRNA from 1 species
GAACGAACGCUGGCGGCAUGCCUAACACAUGCAAGUCGAACGAGACCUUCGGGUCUAGUGGCGCACGGGUGCGUAACGCGUGGGAACCUGCCCUUAGGUUCGGAAUAACUCCCCGAAAGGGGUGCUAAUACCGGAUAAUGUCUUCGGACCAAAGAUUUAUCGCCUUUGGAUGGGCCCGCGUUGGAUUAGCUAGUUGGUAGGGUAAAAGCCUACCAAGGCGACGAUCCAUAGCUGGUCUGAGAGGAUGAUCAGCCACACUGGGACUGAGACACAGCCCAGACUCCUACGGGAGGCAGCAGUGGGGAAUAUUGGACAAUGGGCGAAAGCCUGAUCCAGCAAUGCCGCGUGAGUGAUGAAGGCCUUAGGGUUGUAAAGCUCUUUUACCCGGGAUGAUAAUGACAGUACCGGGAGAAUAAGCUCCGGCUAACUCCGUG